UCCCAGUUCGGAUUGUAGUCUGCAACCCGACUACAUGAAGCUGGAAUCGCUAGUAAUCGCGGAUCAGAAUGCCGCGGUGAAUACGUUCCCGGGUCUUGUACACACCGCCCGUCACACCAUGGGAGCCGGUAACGCCCGAAGUCAGUGACCCAACCGAGAGGAGGGAGCUGCCGAAGGCGGGACAGGUAACUGGGGUGAAGUCGUAACAAGGUAUC
rnacentral:rRNA from 1 species